UUAGAAUUGACGGAUUUGAGU
rnacentral:snRNA from 1 species